UUCCUCCCCAUGUUCCUGCUACAUGAUGUUCCACCCAGAAUAACGAGGUCUUACAACCAUGGUCUGAAGAAUCUGAGAGCAUGAGCCAGAAGGAGUGUUUCUGUUCACAGGGUGAGACUGAAGGCAGAGACAGGAGAAGACCCAGAAGUACAUGGGCAGCUUGCCUGACACACUCAGCAGCAACCAACAAGAGACCUUGUCUCCAAAAAGGCACAUGAUCAGUUUAUACUUCCUCCAUCAUUUUUGAAUCAGACAUCACCCAUGUGACUUGCUUUGGCCAAUAAAGUAUACACAGAAGUGACUUAUGCUAUUCUGAGAUGGAAGUAAGAGCCAAUGUACAAUGCGAUUUGUUCUCUUACCACUAUUGCAAUUACUGUGGAAAUGUAUACAGAGAUGGAAUUGCCAGCAGCUAGGUCCUGAACAUGGUGACCCAGAGCCCUGUUUUGAUUCACAUUUGAGAUAGUCAUAAAUAAAUUACUGCCACCUGACAUAUCUAUUAAGAGCUGAUACUUCAACAGCAUAAUAAUAUAUAAACCACACUAAUAUAUAUUAUUGUUAUUACAUUUACCAACAAUGUCAUUUUAGAAACUUGUUAAUAUAGAGAGAUAAAUUUCUUAAAAAAUAAAUUGGUGAACUUUGGAAGAAAUAUGUUUGAUCUUACAGAGAUAAUUACACUUGGACCCCUUGAUUGAGUUUCUAAGGACUUUUAACAGAAAAACUCUGUUACUUCAAAGACAACUGGGGGCAGGGUGCUGGUGAGAUGGCUCAGUGGGUAAAGCAUUUAUUGUACAAGAUAAGGACCUGAGUUCAUAUCCCCAAUACCUAUAUAAAAAGCAAGGCAUUGCGGCGUGCACUUGUAACCCCAAAACAGGGGUGGGGGUAAGUGGACACGGGCAGAUCCCCAGAGUUUGCUGGCUAGCCAAUUGGUGAGCACCAAGUUCA